GAUGGGUGCAGUGGAGGCUCUCCAUGAAAUAGCAGAACAAGUGGGGAAAAAGGAUUGGAACUUCGCCCUCAACCCUUGUGAUGGCAACUCCAACAGGUCAACACCUUACAGGAAGGAGAUACCAUUGCAGAACAAUACUCUCUCCUGCAAUUGCUCCUAUCCCAACGGUCAAUGAGAUAAUUGGGGGGAUUGGAUCUGCAAAUUGGUUUGUUUACCUUGAGACAAAUUAAAGCCGCUACCAACAACUUUAAUUCUGCAAACAAGAUUGGUGAAGGAGGUUUUGGAUCAGUCUACAAGGUCAUGAAGAAAUCCAAUUGAAAUUAGAUUGGCCUACCAGGCAAAGGAUUUGUGUUGGCAUAGCAAGAGGUUUGGCUUUC